AGUGAACGCUGGCGGUAGGCCUAACACAUGCAAGUCGAACGGCAGCACAGUAAAAGCUUGCUCUUACGGGUGGCGAGUGGCGGACGGGUGAGGAAUACAUCGGAAUCUACUUUUUCGUGGGGGAUAACGUAGGGAAACUUACGCUAAUACCGCAUACGACCUACGGGUGAAAGCAGGGGAUCUUCGGACCUUGCGCGAUUGAAUGAGCCGAUGUCGGAUUAGCUAGUUGGCGGGGUAAAGGCCCACCAAGGCGACGAUCCGUAGCUGGUCUGAGAGGAUGAUCAGCCACACUAGACCGGAGACACGGUCCAGACUCCUACGGGAGGCAGCACUGGGGAAUAUUGGACUAUGGGCGCAAGCCUGAUCCAGCCAUACCGCGUGGGUGAAGAAGGCCUUCGGGUUUUAAAGCCCUUUUGUUGGGAAAGAAAAGCAGCAGGUUAAUACCCCGCUGUUCUGACGGUACCCAAAGAAUAAGCACCGGCUAACUUCGUG
rnacentral:rRNA from 1 species